rnacentral:rRNA from 1 species
UACGUAGGGACCAAGCGUUGUUCGGAUUUACUGGGCGUAAAGGGCGCGUAGGCGGCACUGUUAGUCAGGCGUGAAAUUCCUGGGCUCAACCUGGGGACUGCGCUUGAUACGGCAGAGCUAGAGGAUGGAAGAGGCUCGCGGAAUUCCCAGUGUAGAGGUGAAAUUCGUAGAUAUUGGGAAGAACACCGGUGGCGAAGGCGGCGAGCUGGUCCAUUACUGACGCUGAGGCGCGACAGCGUGGGGAGCAAACAGG